UACAGAGGCCCCAAGCGUUAGGCGGAAUCACUGGGCUUAAAGCGUGUGUAGGCGGACUUCUAAGUACCUUGUGAAAUCCCACGGCUUAACCGUGGAACUGCUUGGUAUACUGGUCGUCUUGAGCCACUUAGGGGUUACCGGAACAAAUGGUGGAGCGGUGAAAUGCGUAGAUAUCUGGAGGAACACCGGUGGCGAAGGCGGCGUUCUGGACUGCAACUGACACUGAGGAACGAAAGCCAGGGUAGCAAACGGG
rnacentral:rRNA from 1 species